rnacentral:sRNA from 1 species
UGUGUGUGUGUGUGUAUGUGUAGGCCUACUUUGAUACCUCCACCAAGUUUGUGUUUGUCGCUUUCUCUGUUUCUUUCUUCUGCAUUUCUUUAGCCAGGUCUAUAUAAAUGCUAUCUCACUCUCUCUCUCUCUCUCUCUCUCUCUUUUCAUUUCAGAGAUUAUUUUACAUGAUUGUUUAAAUCAUAAUCAAUAAUCUCUAUCCUGUUGUGUAUGUAGACGUAUGUGCGUGCGUGAGUGUAUCUAAGUUUAUGUGUGUGUGUGUUUGUGUGAAAGAGAGAGCAUGAGUACGUGUGUCUGCCCGAGUGUUACAUAGUCAAUACAAAUGUGGGGGAGUACAACAUAACAAAAAGAAAAAACUUUCCGUCUGUAAUCUCCAAGAGCGAUCACUCUAUCACCUUGAGCUCACAUCUGACGACGAUGCCUGUGAAGGUUGAGGUAAGUCUAUUUGAUUUCCUACUGCUUGGACUGUGUACAUUUAUUUGUCUACACAUCCAGACCCAGGGACGCAUUUUGUGCCUAAAGAACACAUUGCGCCUAAUCAUUUUUUUUUAAAUUGCAUAAGCAAUCCAUGGCGCUCAGACAUCAAACUUGUAUUUGUGUGAAAUCUUGAAACUUAACUGCAAACGCUUUAUUUAUUUCUCUUUUUUCAUCCUUGUUCAUUCCAUAAAUCUGAAAGUUUACUUUCAAAUCUGUUUAUAGA